GUGUGGGUAUAACAGAUACAGAGAAGAAAAGGGCACUGUAGACAAAGCCAUGUGUAGACAGAAGGUAGGUGAGAUGGCAGCCUGAACACGGGCAGUGACCCUGGAAGAAAGACAAUGGGUAGGCCCCGAGGAAGUGAGACAGUUCGAUGACUCUUCACAGAGGAAGUCAAGCAUGCUAGCAAAAAUCCUGAGAGUAACCUAUGCCAGACUUUUCACUAUUACAGGAGAUCUUUAGAUUCCAACUAGAGACUUCACCAUCCUGUUUCCUGACUUUCCAGACAUCCAGGCCUGGAAUGGAGCUGUAUCAGUGGCCCUUCUUGGUUUCCAGCUGGCUUCAUGUAGAUCACAGGACUCCCAAACUCUAUAAAUAGCAUUGCCCCAGAUCCAGAAAGUGGCCUGAAGCAAAAGAUCUCCAAGUCAGGAGUAGAAGCCAAAAGGCCGCCUGUGGCAAGUGUUGUCUGUCCCUGAGUCUCUACAGGACAACUGGGAUCAGAAUAUGUCUCAUUAACUCUUGGCUGACAACUCUGGCCCAAAGGAAAUGAAGUAUCUUUUAAAAAACUGUUACUGUAAAUUGUCAGUUUGUAUCUGUAUAUGC